GCAGACAUGGUUCAGUGGCUGAGUAUAUGUUCUGCAAGCAGAUGGCCCCAGUGUCAAACCCUGGUGUCUCCA